CACCAGCGUCACGAGUGGCGAUCAUAUUUAUUGGGUCUAAAGCGUUCGUAGCCGGUUAGAUAAAUCUUUUGUGAAAUUGUUGGGCUUAACUUAACAACGUGCAGAAGAAACUGUUUAACUAGGGACCGGGAGGAGUUAGAGGUAUGCCUUGGGGAGUGGUAAAAUAUGAUAAUCCAAGGUGGACCACCUGUGGCGAAGGCGUCUAACUAGAACGGGUCCGACGGUGAGGAACGAAGGCCAGGGGAGCGAAUCGG
rnacentral:rRNA from 1 species